AGUUUUUAAUUUUUCACAUUAUUAUAAUAAGUCACAUCUCUUAAUUUCUGUAAAAACAGUGUAACUAGUGUAAUACAUGCAUGCGUAACUGUGCGAGUUAACUUUAUUUUAAUUUUUAAGUUUUUGACUCAUCAAAAAUAUAAAUCGAAAAAAGGGUUGCAAAAUGGAUACUAAUCUAUUGUAUAUUUAGUACAAUUGUCACGAUGUAGUCGUUGUGCAGCUUGUGGCUCUUGAACUGCAUAUUUCAUCGAAAGGGUUUUCAAAUAGAGGAUAUUUGGAUUCGUGGAAGAAUUUAGUUCAAUGCGUAAACACACAAUCACAGAAAUACCAAUGGUACAAAAUUGUAAUCCACUGAUUGUUGUCCAUUGUUGAACAAGUAUGGAUAGAACUGGCCUCUUGAAGUAUUAAUUUAUCUUCUACCAUGUGUAUUAAAUCACAAUCAAGAAAUGGACAUAGAUAAAAUUAUAUGACUGGCUUGACACCACCAGAGCAUGUUUUUUUUGAGGACUGAUCAAUAUAAACUGGUAUACUCACUAAUCAUUUAGUUAAAAUUAUGAGUAGAGUAUGAUUUUUAUACUCAAAAUACAAAACCAUACAGGGUCUAAAUGUUGAAUAAAAUAAGUGUGUGUAUAAUGUAUACAUCCAAAUUGAAAUAGAAAAUUAUAUUUUUUAAAGAUCAAAACAUUUUAUGGUAUUUUAUUAUAAUGCAAUCAAUAUUAGAAACAUAAAAGAAUCAAUGUAAUAUAUUUUAUUUUAUUUUUA